AUUUAAAACAAGCUCAUGUGGUGAAGUGACAAAGAAAUCCAUCCAUCCAUCCAUCCACGUGUAAGAAACAGCCGACUAGCUAGAACAAAGAAACGGAAAUCGCUUUGUUGAUGGCUCAGUGCUCAAGAAUAUUUUUGAAGGGGCGGAGCUGAAUCUUGAGACUUCUGGCAAUUCUUGAAGAGAAAAGAAGUGAUGAUACUGGUGGCAAUAGUGGCGGAGCUGAUGGAGGAGUACAUGGCGUUUCUGACUAGGGUUUUGGAACAUGUGUUUAAUGAUGCACCUUUUCCAAGAAGGGUUCGUUUUCUCAUUCUACGUAAUCUUCCUUUUGCUUCCUCGUCUCAUCGUCCUCCUCUACGUAGAGCUAGCUCCUAGACUUCACUGAAAUUGUUUACAGGGAGUUCUCCUCUCCCACCACAACCACCCACCUCUUUGUUUAUGCUUUAUUCCUUCGUUUUUUUUUCUUUGCUGUUUUAUCUCCUUUUGUUAAUAGUUUGAGAGUUAAUUAACUUAGCUUUCGUUUGCUUCUUUUUGUUUUUUUUUUUUUUGAGUUUUUGUAUGAUAAUUAGUGGUUCUCUUUUGUAAUUUAAGUGUUCUUAUUUAUUUUUUUAAUCUUAAUACAUUCUAUUAUGUUUGGAUUAAUUAAUUAGAUUUUGUUUGAAA